GCUUCAGCUGCGUUUAUUGUUACCAAUUUGUGUCCCGAUGCAACUUUUCUAGGCAGCCUCGGUGGGAGACACUUGCAGAGCAACGUUUGCAUUUCUGCAGGUCUUUGUGGACAUGCAUAUUGCUAAUACACACAUAAACAGGAUGCCAUUUAUAUUUAAACAGUGCUUUUGGAGUCGAAUGGCAUCACAGCUGAGGGAAUGGAAACGUUCUGAUUUGUAUCACUUAUCUCAGUGGAGGCUGCUUCCUUCACACAUUGACUUCUGCAGAGUCUCUGCAAUAAGGCAGCUACAUUCACAUAGGAUGAGACAUGAGACAUGCCACCCCCCUCUUCACCUGAGGCUUUCCCAGGCACAGAACACCUGAUGCUUCACAGCACUGAACCUUCCACUGCAGUUUGCUGAGGGCUGUAAAGCAGUGUCCCUUGCACUGGCAGUGUUUUACACUGCCUUCAGCCUGCUACAGGGAUCCCAGCUCAGCAGGACUCAGCCAGGUAUGGUUCCAAAAGCUUUUCACCCCUAGAAGUCACGACCAUGUCAGGUGGGAUGUUUCUCCACUGUCUUUACAAGAUAAAAUCCCCAAAGUGUAUGCAUUUGCAAAAACACACAGUAAAAAAAAAAAAAUCAGUGACACAAGCAACCCCUCCAACCUUGUGGGUGCUUAUGUGUGUUCCUGGGGAGCUGUCUUGUCCCCCAUGAUGGGUUUAAUGGUCAGGACUGAGGCAGUCCUUGUCCCACCUGUCUGCAAUGGCCUUUGGCUGGCAGUCACCACCACUCAGAAUUCGAUUUGAGGGGUCUGGGUGUCCUCUCCAAAGCUUUCUCAAGACACAGCCCUGCCAGCUUGAUUAAACCAACCUAAACCCACAUUCCUUCCCUAAGGGAUGGCCCUGUCUUCUUCUAGCCCAGCUGGGAUUUCCCAGUGCCUCCCCACCUCUGCUGCAGUCCCUGCAACCCACAGGGAAUGGGAGCUACAUUUAAUAGCUACAGCUAUUAAAUGCUGAUGGAGCUGAAAGCAAAAGGAGAAAAAAAUCUUCUUUCACCAGGUCAGCAAGGCACUCUGUCCCACCCUGUGGGUGGCAGGAGCUCAUGGCUGGGAGAAAAGAGCACUCUCAUUAGUCCAUCAGUCAUUGGUACAGCUGAACUGGCAGCAAAGUCGUGUUUGAGUUUACAGCUUGAGCACUAAUUUAAAUUGCUGUUGAUUUUGGGGUUGCCUCAGCACCCUGGGGCUGGCAGUGCCAUAGCAAGUUGCCAGUGCCUGUGCUAAGGGAACAAGAUUCUCCACCAGAGAGAGAGAAGGGCUCAGGAUGGCAGCAGUAUCUGCACCUGCUGCAAAUCCCUCUUCUUGCUUCAUUCUUAGGUGGAGGGCUAUUUUUAAUGGGAUCAACUCAGUGACACAAGAUGUCAAAAUGCAGCUUCACAAAGCAGUUGCAUCAGUGCAAACAGUGUGGAAGCAAACUGUGAGGAUCUGGGGAGAGAGGAGUCCCUUGGGGCAGCCUCACAGAGGAGCCAGAGCACCACGAGGGCCACCAGCAACAGCACAGGAGCUCUGAAGUGGCUCAGGAGGGCAGAAGAUUCCCUCUCUCAUCUGGGUGUGCAAAAGUGAUGUUACCCAUUCCCUUCAGGAUUCAAUCUGGCUUUCAGGCAGGAGCCUUUCCUUUGCUUAGCCUCUGUGAAGGACUGAGCAGGGUACAUGAAAAAUCCUCAGCUUUCCCCAGCAUACAUUUUUUUGACAGUGAGUUAAGAGGUGUCUGUUUUAUAGGUGUAAAAAUGAGAGGCAAAGGACAAUGAACUAUUGUUUCCAUCCCUGUGUUUCAGAAGGCAGUAGACAAAUCAAACAGUUUCGAAUGCAGGACAAAAGCUCCUCCUGAAAGAAGUGUACAAGGUUGUGACUAUUUGGUGUUAUUCUCAUGAGGGAACAGAGAGGAUCAAAAGAAUAAACUCUAAAACUCCAGUAACA
ensembl:lncRNA